UGGGGAAUUUUGGACAAUGGGCGAAAGCCUGAUCCAGCAAUGCCGCGUGUGUGAAGAAGGCCUUCGGGUUGUAAAGCACUUUUGUCCGGAAAGAAAUCCUCUGGGUUAAUACCUCGGGGGGAUGACGGUACCGGAAGAAUAAGCACCGGCUAACUACGUGCCAGCAGCCGCGGUAAUACGUAGGGUGCAAGCGUUAAUCGGAAUUACUGGGCGUAAAGCGUGCGCAGGCGGUUUUGUAAGACGGAUGUGAAAUCCCCGGGCUUAACCUGGGAACUGCAUUCGUGACUGCAAGGCUAGAGUAUGGCAGAGGGGGGUAGAAUUCCACGUGUAGCAGUGAAAUGCGUAGAGAUGUGGAGGAAUACCGAUGGCGAAGGCAGCCCCCUGGGCCAAUACUGACGCUCAUGCACGAAAGCGUGGGGAGCAAACAGGAUUAGAUACCCUGGUAGUCCACGCCCUAAACGAUGUCAACUAGUUGUUGGGGAUUCAUUUCCUUAGUAACGUAGCUAACGCGUGAAGUUGACCGCCUGGGGAGUACGGUCGCAA
rnacentral:rRNA from 1 species